rnacentral:lncRNA from 1 species
ACUCACUCCUUCCCGCCGCCUUAUGAAGAAGAUGCCUGCUCCUCUUUGCCUUCUACCGUGUUUAUAAGUUUCCUGAGGCCUCUCCAGCCAUGCAGAACUAGAAGACCCAAGAUAUAAAAAGGAGAAAGUUCAUCAGAUACUAGUCAUAAGUGAAGCUUUAAAAGAUGAAAUUCCAGUUUCAUGGACUCAAGAUGGAGAAGGAAUAAUUGAAAACAUUUGGAAGAAAAACAUCUGGGUUUUUAACUCACCCUGAACUAAAAAAAUGUAGUGUCUGUUAAAAUUAGUUGAUUGAAGAAUGGAGGAAAAAAAAGUAGGAAACUAAAUGUGUAAUGUUUAACAACCUGCAAUAAAUCCUCCUAUACUUGUUCAUGUUUUCAAAACAUUUAUGAUAAAUUUUUAGGUCUAUAUAAUGAGAAGUUUAGGUAGUGAAAUGGAGUGAUUAGACAAAAGUGACAAGAUAAAGAGGUAGAAGAUGGAUCCUUUGAGGAAGGCUAAAGCAAAUUGAGGUGAAUAAAACUAGAGGGUACAGAUGAGUGAUCUUUAUUUGCUUUUACCAACAUCAAGGAUAUUAAGCACUUAUCUGACAGAGUACCUGACAACUUCUUUAUAUCCACAGGGGAUGAAUUAAGUGGAUAUCAGCUUAGUUGAAAGGAUGGAGAUUUCCUUUUUGUAAGAGAACAUUUGGACUUUUAUGUUAAUGAGAAGCAGGACACAGCCGGGCAC